CGCGGUUUAGCAGCGGCUCGCGGCAAAAAUAGAAUUGGACGGAAAGAUAGCGCCGCGGCGCGGCACGCCGCUCCUGGGACGCUGCUGAAACGUUCCGCGGCGCGCCCGGUGGAAAUGGUCUCAUUGAUUAUAGUGGAAGCGAUCAGCAGCGGUGACCGCGGCGCAGCCGUCCCGCGGCGCGUACGCCUCCGGUGGAAUCGAGCCUUUUAACCAAUACGCAGGCCUUUGCCGUCUCUUCUCGAGCUUCUCGCUCACAACCAAUCACGUUCUUCUGGAGGUCACUAGUUCUUAAUUGAUUUCAGCUGCGUCUCCCCCGCCUCUCCUCAUAAAGCGCCCCCACCGAGACGGUUGUUAAUCGUUUAUUUUGCGUUGGAUUGCGUGGGCUGAACAAUCCGGACAUCGUGGCCACCGACGUGGACCCCCGCCACCGGGACCCCCGCACACCGACCACCACACUGGGAAGUGUCCUCUGCUCACUGUGGAAGCAGCAUGGAAGAACUGCAGCAACUCUGAUGGAAACGAGGACCUCUACGCUGUUGAACACAAACUGUUCUAGGCCUACUACAAACCGAGGCGGUCCCACUCGGUUAAAGAUCUCGUGGUCAAUGCGGCAGACCGCUGGACCUGGACGUCACCUUCUGCAGAUCCUUCACUGCCCUCAGGAAUCCACGGAUAACUUGAAACAUGUCCGACUCCACAUGUACGAAGAAUCCAGGAUGGAAACUUGUGGAAGGAAGAAAGGGGUCUGUUUUUGCUCAACCUAUAACCCCACUGAGCCCUUCUGUAGAAACCUGUCUGACUGACCCUACUGACUGGGGGCCUGUUGAGGUGUGUUUGGUUGGUGGUCCUGGGUUAGAUGCGGUGUCUGACUUGCACACCACUCUCCCAAUUCUAUUCUUCUCUUUACUACUUUUCUACUUUCAAUACACUUGCUGCUGCUGCUGUUGACCGCUGGUGGUGCAAUGUGGUUUUUAUUCGCGUAUGUUCUGUGGACUUUGCAUUUGUAUUUUAAUGAACAUGUUUACUGCCUGUUAGACCUCGGAUUGGCAAACCUAAACUCCUUCACUGGCAAAAUGUAGAUGCAAAUUAAAUGCCAAAAUUAACAUUUCAA